UACAGGGGGUGCAAACGUUGCUCGGAAUCAUUGGGCGUAAAGCGCACGUAGGCGGCCUGUUAUGUCGGAUGUGAAAGCCCUUGGCUUAACUGAGGAAGUGCAUCCGAAACUGGCAGGCUAGAGUACUAAAGAGGGUCGCGGAAUUCCCGGUGUAGAGGUGAAAUUCGUAGAUAUCGGGAGGAACACCGGUGGCGAAGGCGGCUCUCUGGACCACAACUGACGCUGAGGCGCGAAAGCUAGGGGAGCAAACAGG
rnacentral:rRNA from 1 species